rnacentral:rRNA from 1 species
AGAGUUUGAUCAUGGCUCAGGAUGAACGCUAGCGGGAGGCUUAACACAUGCAAGUCGAGGGGCAGCACGGUCCAACGCAAGAAGGACUGGUGGCGACCGGCGCACGGGUGAGUAACGCGUAUGCAACCUACCCUGUACUGGAGAAUAACCCGGAGAAAUUCGGACUAAUACUCCAUAACGAUAUAGAGAGGCAUCUUUUUAUAUUUAAAGCUCUGGCGGUACGGGCUGGGCAUGCGUAACAUUAGCUAGUUGGCAGGGUAACGGCCUACCAAGGCAACGAUGUUUAGGGGUCCUGAGAGGGUGAUCCCCCACACUGGUACUGAGACACGGACCAGACUCCUACGGGAGGCAGCAGUGAGGAAUAUUGGUCAAUGGGCGCAAGCCUGAACCAGCCAUCCCGCGUGAAGGAAGACGGCGCUAUGCGUUGUAAACUUCUUUUCCAGGGAAAUAAAAUCAGGUACGUGUACCGGAUUGAAGGUACCCUGGGAAUAAGCAUCGGCUAACUCCGUGCCAGCAGCCGCGGUAAUACGGAGGAUGCAAGCGUUAUCCGGAUUUAUUGGGUUUAAAGGGUGCGUAGGCGGGAAAAUAAGUCAGUGGUGAAAUCCUACAGCUUAACUGUAGAAUUGCCGUUGAUACUGUUUUUCUUGAGUAUGGUCAAGGAAGGCGGAAUGUGUAAUGUAGCGGUGAAAUGCUUAGAUAUUACACAGAACACCAAUUGCGAAGGCAGCUUUCUGGCCCAUUACUGACGCUGAGGCACGAAAGCGUGGGGAUCGAACAGGAUUAGAUACCCUGGUAGUCCACGCCGUAAACGAUGAUCACUAGCUGUUGGCGAUAUACUGUCAGCGGCAAAGCAAAAGCAUUAAGUGAUCCACCUGGGGAGUACGGCCGCAAGGCUGAAACUCAAAGGAAUUGACGG